CGUCUUCUUUUUACCAAAUCCACGAGACCAAAAUAACAAAGGCGACGACGAAGAGAAGAAGAAAUUGGGACGGAGAGCGGAACCGCCGCCAUGUCUUUCGCCACUGUCUCUCCGGCUACCAUCGACGGCGACGCUCCUCUCUGCUCCUCCGUCAUAUAUUGGUGCCACGAGUGCGACAUGAGCGUCACCCUCCUCCCCUCCCAAUCCCCACUCAUCUGUCCCGACUGCUCCCGCUCUGAUUUCCUCGAGGAAAUGGAGUCUACACCCACCCAUCUCCCCUCUUCAUCCUCGGCCCUUUCUCCCCCUCCCCAAUCCCUCACCGACUCCGACGAUGACGAUGACGACGACGACGCCGGAUCCGCCUCCGAUCCAGACGACCGCCACCGCCUUCCCUCCUCUCGUGCCGAUCGCGUUCGCCUCCUCAUCGGCCGACUCUCUGAAGGCAGCGGCGAUGGCGACGACUCUCUCCCUCUUUUCCCGCCUCCCGCUCCUGCUCGCUCCGGACCCUAUCCUGCCUCCGCCGCAUCAAUCGAAGCUCUCCCUAUCGUCUGCAUCUCCGAUGCUCAUGCGACCUCCUUUCCCUCUUGCGCGGUUUGUAAGGAAGAUUUCGCCCUCCACUCUUCCGCCCGUCGCCUCCCCUGCUCGCACCUCUACCACUCCGAUUGCAUCGUCCCUUGGCUUUCCCUUCACAAUUCCUGCCCCAUCUGCCGCGCGCCGCUCCCCUCUCAAUCUUCUGGUGGCGCCAUUUAUGGAGACGAUGACGCGCUUUCAGCGGCGCUCAGUGGGGCCGAUGAUGACACGACGGUGCUGACUGCUGCGCUGUGGCAAGUGAGGAGGCAGCACCGGCUUUCGUUCCCGGUUCAGCCUGCUGCAUCAGCAGCCAUGAACGCUGUCCUCUUUCAGAUGGAAGAGGUGGAUGAUGCGCUAGUUGAUAGUGUGGAGACGACGUCAUUGGAAGGGCGUGGAACAUCCAUAGGAAGUGGGACGGAUGGUGACGACACUAUCAUCUUGCCUGAGAUUAGGGAGAAUUGUCUUUAGCACGUAUCCUUGACAGCGAUUAUUGUUGCAUAAAUCCUUGAGUUCAAGAUGAUCACAGGGCUUGUUAAACUGAGAAUAAUAUCUUGUCUUCUUUACUUCAUCAACCAACAAGUACUGGAAACUUCAAUAUUUGGAAUAUGUACACGCUCGUGUUGUAUCUUAAUGACGCAGAGGCCAAAGAAGAAGACGUUCGCAGUAAUUUCUGAUACAAUCAUUACUGUAAUCUGCCUAAUAAUGUUUUUUUGCUAUUUAGUUAUUGAAUUCGUCCCAAGUUAUAAACUCAUUUAUAAGCUUA